rnacentral:rRNA from 1 species
GAUAAACGCUGGCGGCGUGCAUGAGACAUGCAAGUCGAACGGACGAUCGAGGCUUGCUUCGAUCGUUAGUGGCGGACGGCUGAGUAACGCGUAGGUGACCUGCCCCGAAGUGGGGAAUAACUGCCCGAAAGGGUGGCUAAUGCCGCAUGUGGUGGUGUGUUCAAUCACACCAGUAAAGCCGCAAGGCGCUUCGGGAGGGGCCUGCGUCCGAUUAGCUCGUUGGGGGGUAACGGCUCACCAAGGCGACGAUCGGUAGGUGGUCUGAGAGGACGAUCACCCAGACUGGGACUGAGACACGGCCCAGACUCCUACGGGAGGCAGCAGUCGGGAAUUUUGCGCAAUGGACGAAAGUCUGACGCAGCAACGCCGCGUGAGGGAUGACGG